CCCUCUCUUUCUCUCCUUGUCUUUUUGUCUCUUUAUGUCUGUUGCAUUAUGCCUGAAUAAUUUUCAGUCUUUUUUUUUCUCUCCUCUUGCACGCACAUGCUAAAAUAACUAGACAAAGAUGCAAGGUGGUUGCUGCAGUCCCUGUCUCUAGGACAAAACCAAGAAAGCUUGUGAUUGCAAUGCCACCUUUCCUUUUUUUUUUCUCUUCUUUUUUUCUUCCCCAGCCAUGCUUGGUGAUUAAACUUCCUCAGGAUGGGGAAGAAAAAGGAGCUGGAAAUGAAAUAGGGUUGAGGAAAAAUCCUAUUGCAGCAGCUGCAUCCAGUGGUGUCUGCUGCCAGAUGUGCGAAGGUUCCUGGGGUCCUUGUCACUAAAAGGCAGUAUUCAAAUAUUUGGAGACAAAAGCUGCAUCCUCAGUGAUCAUUUUCUUUAUUUAACAUGGCAGCAGGCAUCGUGUGGGGAAAAAUCAACAUGCUGGAUGUUGAAUCGGACUUUUCUCCUUUCUGGGAUGAAAGGAUGUUAUCUAUCCCGUGCCAAGAGGGAACUGAGAGCAAUGAACAUAUGGCUGUUACUAUCAGCACUGGUGUAUUUGCGGCGAUGCCUAUCAACAUCCACCAGAGAGCAGGGCAGCUCCAAAACCCACAUCUUUUAUGCUGUGGAAAUUGAUGGAGACAGCAACACAGCCAGCUUCUUGGCCAAACAACAUGGAAUGCAGUUCAUUUCAAAGGUACUGGUCUCUUAGCCUGUAAGGCUUGUGCAUGAUGUCUAUGAGAGCAAUUUCCAGCCGAGCAAAGCCUUAUCACAGAUUCACCUAAAAGAUAUCACAAUAUGUAAUUAUGGAUGUAUUUAAUAAUGAGCAUAUUCUCCACCUCUUUCUGAAGACUGUUUUUGUCUAAAGACCUGCAGUGCUGCAGAGAAUAGGAAGAAACAAGGUAAGGGUAAACAAGAAAUAAUUUUCAAUCUGUCCCAUGCAAGCUACAAAUCUAAAGGUUUGGGUGAGAGUUUCUGCUAAAGUUGGUAAUAAAAAAACCAAACCAAACAAAAAAAACCCAAAACAACAACAAACUCAACAAGACAAACAAACAAAAACCCCACAACAAACCCUGAAUGUCAACAGAAGAUUUACAGAGGAAUGCAAUCAAGAACGACGUUGCAAAUCAAGUCUAGAAUCAGACUAUCAAGAAUUCAAAAAACUUUCAGCUGUUUGCAAUUACGGUGGUAAUUGCUAUUUUAAAAUGUUUUCCUUUUCCCAAAGAAAUGCUGUGUUGUUAGCUGAAAUUUUAGGGAUUUUAAAUCACAGCAAAUCUCUGUGCAGCUGAUGAAGGCUAAAUAUUAUAGGCAAUCAAAACAACAUAUUAUCUACAUAUUUCAGCUGAUUAAAAAAAAAGUAGCUUUUGGAACUUCUUUAAGAAGUUAUUUUACUAUGUAGUUCUAGCUAAUUACAGCAUAUUUUUCAGACCAAAACAUCAGCAUUAGAUAUUUUAAAGCAAAAUGUGACGGAUUUUUAAGGAAAUUGCACCUGAGGUUUUGCUAUGUUGUUUUACUCUAAAAAAUGAUUCCUUUUCUUUCUGUUGUGAAUCAGUUUUGCAGGGAAGUAUUGGUUGUAACCAAUGUUUAAUACAUAAAAUUAACAUUUCCUUAAAAAUACUGUAAUUUAAAGAUUGAUGUAUCAACAUCACAUAAUGUGAGUGGAAGGUGUCCCUGCACAUGGCAUAGGGCUUGCAACUGGAUGAUCUUUAGAGUCCUUUCAAACCCAGGCCAUUCAAUGGAUCUGUGAUUCUGCUGGGUGUUUUCUUUUAGCAACAGUUCAUUAGCUGAUGUCUGAAGAACAGAUAUAAAGGUAAAAUUAUAAAAUGUCUGUUUGAUCAAUACUCAGCAGAUUUACAGAACUUGUUUUUAAGAUUUAUUUAAGAAAAAAAAGCAAAUGAGUAUUUUUAUAACAGUUAUUAUAUACCCACUAAGUCUGCAUGAAGCAAAUGCAAAGGAUUGGCAGGGCAGUGAUGACACAGCACUGGUGCCACUGCAGUAGGAUCAAUGUUGCUGGCAGAGCCCUGUGUGG